rnacentral:rRNA from 1 species
UAGAACCGUGGUUAAGGAACUCGGCAAAUUGACACCGUAACUUCGGGAUAAGGUGUGCCACUGAGGGUGAAGAGCCUUGCGCUUGUAAGCCUUCGGGGGUUGCAACAAAGAGGCGGUAGCGACUGUUUACCAAAAACACAGGCCUGUGCGAAGCCGUAAGGCGACGUAUACGGGUUGACGCCUGCCCGGUGCCGGAAGGUUAAGGGGAGUGGUCAGCGAAAGCGAAGCUGCGAACCGAAGCCCCGGUAAACGGCGGCCGUAACAAUAACGGUCCUAAGGUAGCGAAAUUCCUUGUCGGGUAAGUUCCGACCUGCACGAAUGGCGUAACGACUUCCGCGCUGUCUCGAUCACGGUCUCAGCGAAAUUGACAUUGGGGUGAAGAUGCCCCAUACCCGCAGCAAGACGGAAAGACCCUGUGAACCUUUACUCUAACUUGGCAGCGACAUUCGGUUCAGCUUGUGUAGGAUAGGUGGGAGACGAUGAAGCGGGGGCGCCAGCCUUCGUGGAGUCAACGUUGAAAUACCACCCUGGUUGUGCUGGAUGUCUAACCCGGCCCUUGUGGCGGGGACACUGCCUGGCGGGGAGUUUGACUGGGGCGGUCGCCUCCCAAACAGUAACGGAGGCGCGCAAAGAUUCCCUCAGCGUGAUCGGAAACCACGCGCAGAGUGCAAAGGCAGAAGGGAGUUUGACUGCAAGAUCGACAGAUCGAGCAGGUGCGAAAGCAGGCCUUAGUGAUCCGGCGGUCCCACAUGGGAGGGCCGUCGCUCAUCGGAUAAAAGGUACUCCGGGGAUAACAGGCUUAUCACGCCCAAGAGUUCACAUCGACGGCGUGGUUUGGCACCUCGAUGUCGGCUCAUCGCAUCCUGGGGCUGGAGCAGGUCCCAAGGGUUUGGCUGUUCGCCAAUUAAAGCGGUACGCGAGCUGGGUUCAAAACGUCGUGAGACAGUUUGGUCCCUAUCUGCUGUGGGCGCAGGAGAGUUGAGAGACGCUGUCCUUAGUACGAGAGGACCGGGAUGGACGUUCCUCUGGUGUUCCGGUUGUCGCGCCAGCGGCAUAGCCGGAUAACCAUGAACGGAAGGGAUAACCGCUGAAAGCAUCUAAGUGGGAAGCCCAUCUCCAGAUAAACUCUCCCUUGAGGGCCCAGAAAGACCAUCUGGUUGAUAGGCGGGGCGUAUAAACGCAGCAAUGCGUGCGCGGACCCGUACUAAUCGCCCGAACGACUUGACCCU